CCAACACAUUGUUGUUCACCAGUGUGAGCAGCGUCUGUACUGCUGGAGGUGUCUGUUCACUGCACUCCUCUAAGAAAAGCCUACUUUACAAAGACAGGAGAUUCAACCUGACAGAGAGGCGACUCUGAAAGCAAAGGAGCAAGCCGGCGUCAUGGGUCGAGGCGAGAGCGAGGAGUGGGACGAGAAGCAUCACGACACGAGGCAAACUCAGCCCAGGAAGCACGAGGACACGGAGAGCAGGAGCUCCGGCAGCAGCUGCCCCAAGUGCUGCCUGAAGACCCGGGACUGCCUGAUGAGCCCCGAGUGCGGCCGGGCGCUGCAGAUCUCCAGCGUCGUCGCUAUGUGCGGCAUGUGCAUCCGCUGGUUUGUAUAACCGAGGCGUGGACGGCAGCACCGACUCUCCUGUGUUAAUAUCCUCCAACAUGCUGACGGGACUCCUGCUGCGUGGCGUUUCUUCCAAUCUAAAGCGGGGAAAUUUCAUCUGUUUUCUUUAAUCCUAAAUCAACAGAAGUAUUUUUGAGUAAUUGUGUAUAUAAACCAAACUAGAAUGGGAAUAGUCCUCAGUGUCUAGCGGAUGUAGAUGUUGUAUAUUUUUAUCUGACAUGUUAUUAAAAGAAAUAAGCGAAACCGA